GGUCCGAUGGUGUAGUUGGUUAUCACUUCUGUCUAACAUUGUCGCUCAAUAUCGGGUUAUGUGAACACAGGCGGUCCUCAGUUCGAACCUGGGUCGGAUCA